rnacentral:rRNA from 3 species
UUCCUUAGAUGGUACGUACAGUUACUUGGAUAACUGUGGCAAUUCUAGAGCUAAUACAUGCAAACCGAGUUCCGACCGCUUAGCAGGCGGAAGGAAUGCUUUUAUUAGAUCAAAACCAAUCGGACUCCUCCGCGGGUCCGUCACGCCUUGGUGACUCUGAAUAACUUCGGGCUGAUCGCACGGUCCCGAACCGGCGACGCAUCUUUCAAAUGUCUGACUUAUCAACUUUCGAUGGUAGGUUCUGCGCCUACCAUGGUCGUAACGGGUAACGGGGAAUUAGGGUUCGAUUCCGGAGAGGGAGCCUGAGAAACGGCUACCACAUCCAAGGAAGGCAGCAGGCGCGCAAAUUACCCACUCCCGGCACGGGGAGGUAGUGACGAAAAAUAACGAUGCAGAACUCUUUCCGAGGCUCUGCAAUCGGAAUGAGCACACUCUAAAUCAUUUAACGAGUAUCCAUUGGAGG